UCUUAAAAAUCAACCUACAGCGCAUUCUGACUGGCACACAUUCUGAGUCUGUUUUUCACGUCGAAACGGUGACGUCAGACAAAGUACCUUGAGUUUCAUUAUUUUCGGACAGGUUAAGAUUUGAACUGGAAAUAAUAAAAUUUAUAUAUACACAUAUAUAUGGAUGUUUUUAAAUGACGAAAACUGCAAUGCCAAGAACUUCUACCUAAUGUCAAAAGGACUACUAGAAGAAAAGAGUAGUUGUUUCGACCCGCCAGAUGGCAUGUCUAGAGAUUCACGUUUCGUAGUGUUGAAUAAACAACGAACGCACCGAGUGUGGAAGGAUGAUGAGAACAGAACACAUUAACCGAUCUGCUCUCGGAACAUGAAAGAAAAUAUCCUUCAGCUGAUUGAAAGUUAGAGGUCGACAUCCGAUUGUUUAUUUUCUGAUGACAGAUGAAAAUAUUCAAGUUCACCACCAGCGCAAAUAGACGAUCCAAGGCUUGAAAAUACAUAAAUAUAACGAUGAAAAUAUAUACAGAUAUAUCAAUGCAUGAUAACUAAAGUGAUUAUACUCUUCAGUAACAGGAAUCCUACUAGUAGUGUAAUCUGUAGAAGAUAGCAUUUAUGAAAGUUUUGUGUGCUCUACCUGAUAGAGUACAAUUAUAUGACAUCUUAAAGAGAUCGGUGAGGCAUUAUUACGGUCCACAUAUGAAAAACAUGAACACCCGGUUAUCUAUAUGAUGUGAAUUUAUCCUUUGAUAAAAAAAAUAUUAGUAUAACUCGCUUUAGUUCAUGAUUAAGUACUGUAAGUUGAAUAUGGUUCAAGUUGACCAAGUAAAACAUAAGCUACACCUUGAAAGAAAUAGCAUUUGAUAAGGAUGGAAUUAUGAAUGGCAAAAGAAAAUGCUAUAAGUAUGAAAAUACUAUAAUAG